CCUACGGGUGGCAGCAGUAGGGAAUAUUGCGCAAUGGAGGAAACUCUGACGCAGCGACGCCGCGUGCGGGAUGAAGGCCUUCGGGUUGUAAACCGCUUUCAGUAGGGAAGAAGCGAAAGUGACGGUACCUACAAAAGAAGCACCGGCUAACUAUGUGCCAGCAGCCGCGGUAAUACAUAGGGUGCAAGCGUUGUCCGGAAUUAUUGGGCGUAAAGAGCUCGUAGGUCGUUUGUUACGUCGGAUGUGAAAAUCUGAGGCUCAACCUCAGACCUGCAUUCGAUACGGGCAAACUAGAGUUUGGUAGGGGAGACUGGAAUUCCUGGUGUAGCGGUGGAAUGCGCAGAUAUCAGGAGGAACACCAACGGCGAAGGCAGGUCUCUGGGCCAAUACUGACACUGAGGAGCGAAAGCGCGGGGAGCGAACAGGAUUAGAUACCCUUGUAGUC
rnacentral:rRNA from 1 species